rnacentral:rRNA from 1 species
GGACGAACGCUGGCGGCGUGCUUAACACAUGCAAGUCGAACGAGACGAUUUAGAAGCUUGCUUUUGAAAGUCGAGUGGCAAACGGGUGAGUAACGCGUAGACAACCUGCCUUUGAGAUGGGGACAACAGUCCGAAAGGACUGCUAAUACCGAAUGUUGUGGAACUUCCGCAUGGAAGCUCCACCAAAGAUGACCUCUUCCUGAAAGUUAUCGCUCAAAGAUGGGUCUGCGUCUGAUUAGCUAGUUGGUGGGGCAACGGCCUACCAAGGCGACGAUCAGUAGCCGGUCUGAGAGGAUGAACGGCCACAUUGGGACUGAGAUACGGCCCAGACUCCUACGGGAGGCAGCAGUGGGGAAUAUUGGGCAAUGGGGGAAACCCUGACCCAGCAACGCCGCGUGAAGGAAGAAGGCCUUCGGGUUGUAAACUUCUUUUACCAGGGACGAAGGACGUGACGGUACCUGGAGAAAAAGCAACGGCUAACUACGUG